rnacentral:rRNA from 1 species
UACGGUAGGCAGCAAGCGUUGUUCGGAGUUACUGGGCGUAAAGGGUGCGUAGGCGGCCCUGUAAGUAUGGUGUGAAAUCUCCCGGCUUAACUGGGAGGGUGCGCUAUAGACUGCGGGGCUCGAGUGUGGGAGAGGAAAGUGGAAUUCCCGGUGUAGCGGUGAAAUGCGCAGAUAUCGGGAAGAACACCCGUGGCGAAGGCGGCUGCUCUGGGACGGUACGUGACGCUGAGGUGCGAAAGCGUGGGGAGCAAACAGG